UACGUAGGUCCCGAGCGUUGUCCGGAUUUAUUGGGCGUAAAGCGAGCGCAGGUGGUUUAAUAAGUCUGAUGUAAAAGGCAGUGGCUCAACCAUUGUGUGCAUUGGAAACUGUUAGACUUGAGUGCAGUAGAGGAGAGUGAAAUUCCAUGUGUAGCGGUGAAAUGCGUAGAUAUAUGGAGGAACACCGGUGGCGAAAGCGGCUCUCUGGACUGUAACUGACACUGAGGCUCGAAAGCGUGGGUAGCAAACAGG
rnacentral:rRNA from 1 species